rnacentral:rRNA from 1 species
AAAUUCCUUGUCGGGUAAGUUCCGACCUGCAUGAAUGGCGUAACGAUUGCCCCGCUGUCUCAACCAGGGACUCAGCGAAACUAUACUGGGGGUGAAGAUACCCUCAACCCGCAACUAGACGGAAAGACCCCGUGAACCUUUACUAUAGCUUGACAGUGAACUUCGGGAUUGUAUGUGUAGGAUAGGUGGGAGGCGUUGAAGCCAUGCCGCUAGGUGUGGCGGAGCCAACCUUGAAAUACCACCCUUAUUGUUUUGAGGUUCUAACUCUGACCCGUAAUCCGGGUCGAGGACACUGUCUGGUGGGUAGUUUGACUGGGGCGGUCGCCUCCAAAAAGGUAACGGAGGCGCACGAAGGUCGGCUCAGGCUGAUUGGAAACCAGCCGAAGAGUGCAAAGGCAUAAGCCGGCUUGACUGUGAGACCUACAAGUCGAGCAGGAACGAAAGUUGGUCUUAGUGAUCCGGUGGCUCCAUAUGGAAGGGCCAUCGCUCAACGGAUAAAAGGUACUCCGGGGAUAACAGGCUUAUCUCCCCCAAGAGUUCACAUCGACGGGGAGGUUUGGCACCUCGAUGUCGGCUCAUCGCAUCCUGGGGCUGAAGUAGGUCCCAAGGGUUUGGCUGUUCGCCAAUUAAAGCGGUACGUGAGCUGGGUUUAGAACGUCGUGAGACAGUUCGGUCCCUAUCUGUUGUGGGCGCAGGAUAAUUGAGAGGAGCUGUCCUUAGUACGAGAGGACCAGGAUGGACGGACCUCUAGUGUACCAGUUGUCACGCCAGUGGCAUGGGCUGGGUAGCUAAGUCCGGAAGGGAUAACCACUGAAAGCAUCUAAGUGGGAAGCCCACCUCAAGAUUAGUUAUCCCGUUUGGUAGCAAUACCAGGCUAAGAUCCCGGGUAGACCACCCGGUUGAUAGGCUGAUGGUGUAAGCGCAGCGAUGCGUUUAGCCUACCAGUACUAAUAGAUCGAGCGGCUUGGCCAU